rnacentral:lncRNA from 1 species
CUUGAUCCGGUUUUUUUUCCAACUUCUCUACAUUUUUAAGGAGAAGUUAGGUCAAACACACUAUCAAUUAUUUUAAUUUCAAUAUUGUUUAAUCAUCGCAACCUCACAAAUAUUUUUAUUCACACUGUCUUUUAAUGAUACCAAAUACUAUUAUUUCCUUUCUUCAACCUCGCAAAUAUUUACACACACACAUUAACGUUUAGAGUAAUAUUUUAUGUCUGUCUGUCUGUGAUUUUGUUACGCUGAUGCAUAUAAUUUUUUUUAGUGUUGCUUGGUUGAGUGCUACCUCACCGAUUUUUUUU